ACAUGCAUACAACACAAAUUUAAUGCAUCAUAUCCCAUUAGAACUUCGUAGUUAAGCGUGCUUGAGCUAGAGUAGUAUUGGGAUGGAUGACCACCUGGAAAGUCCUAGUAUUUUACAUGCC
rnacentral:rRNA from 1 species